GGCAGAGGGGUGAAUAGUGUGGGGAGAUCUGCCCGAUAGAGGGGGAUAACCUGUGGAAACUGUGGCAAAUACCGCAUAACCUCACGAGACCAAAGGGGGGGAUCUUCGGCCCUCUCUCUAUCAUGUGAACCCAUAUGGUUUUAUCUAAUACGGGGGGUUGUGGCCCACCUACGACAAUAUCCCUAUGUGGUCUGAGAAGAAGACCACCCACUGUGGAUCUGACACACGGCCCACACUCCUACGGGAGGCAACUGUGGAAAAUAUUGCACAGUGGGCGCACGCGUGAUGCACCCGUGCCGCGUGUAUGAAAAGGGUCUUCGGUUUGUAAAGUAUUUUCCGCGGAGAAGAGGGCGGAGAGGUUAAUAACCUUGCAUAGUGACUUUACCCGCAAAAAAAGCCCCGGAUAUCUCCGUGCCCACCCCCGCGGUUAUACAGAGGGUGCAAGCUUAACUCAAAAUUAGUGGGUAUAAAGCACACGCGCGCGCUGUGUUAUCUCAUAUGUAAUCUCCGGGGUCUAACCCUGAGAUCUGCUUGAGAAUCUGACGCGUGUGACUCUCAUAGAGGGGGGUAAAACUCCGUGUGUCGCGGAGAAGUGCAUAGAGAUCUAGA
rnacentral:rRNA from 1 species